rnacentral:rRNA from 1 species
GGAUUAGGCAUGCAAGUCGAACGAGGAUAUAUCCUUCGGGAUAUAAGCCGAGUGGCACAAGGGUGAGCGAUGCAUAGAUUACCUACCUUUAGGAUAAGGACAACUUUGUGAAAACGAAGCUAAUACUUAAUAAUACAAAAGAAAAUAAUUUUCUUUUGUCAAAUGGAGGGUAGCAAUACCUUUCGCCUAGAGAGGGGUUUAUGUCCUAUCAGCUUGUUGGUGGGGUAAUAGCCUACCAAGGCAAAGACGGGUAGCCGGUUUAAGAGGAUGGUCGGCCACACUGGGACUGAGACACUGCCCAGACUUCUACGGAAGGCUGCAGUCGAGAAUCUUUCGCAAUGCCCGAAAGG